ACAAAGGAAACAUGAAAAAGUACUAACAUGAAAAACAUUAGUUUCCCCCUAUGUGACCCUCAUAGAAUUUCAUUUGAGAACACAAAUCAUCAAGAACCAUAGCUAGCAUCAAGGAACUAAUCCAAGUUCAUCUUCCUUAUUCAAAUAUUAGCAGUAAUCUUUGAAUCAUCCUUGAAGUGUAGUGUGUGAGAUAGCCAUGCUAAUGUAAUUUCAAAAUUUUUAUAUUUUUAAAAUCAUCAUAUGCAAACUAGCAACCUUCUCACGGGAUAUACACUCAAUCACACAUGUGUUUAGUUUAAAUGUGUUUCGCUCAAAGAAUCAAAUGUGAAAUUUCUACCAUAAGCUUGCAUAAAGAUCUCAUCUCCACAAUCAUAAUUGCAAAACUUAAAUCAAGAGGACUUUUAUUGGAUGUAAUGAGGUUUAGGGUAAUGAGGUUUAGGGAGAGGGUUAUUGAAAUGAAAGAAUAGGUAAACACAAGUUCCAAGCUACAUUGCAAGCAAUUCUUUUGUUUAGAUUUAUAAUAACUCAAUCUUUCCAGCG
rnacentral:lncRNA from 1 species